rnacentral:snRNA from 1 species
GGAUAUGAGGGUGAUCUGGCUGUGACAUCUGUCACACCAUUGAUCAAUAGGGUUGGUCUGGCUGGCUGGGGUUGUCGCCUUCCUUCCUCAUUGCUCCAUGUGCCUUCCGCCCAAAGCUGUGUGCUAGGUCGAAGAGGACGACCUUCCCCGAAUAGAGUAGGACUGGUCUUUGGUCCAGGGUAUACGAGUAGCCACACUCCCCUGCUAGAACCUCCAAACAAGCUCUCAUGUUUAUUUAUUUGAGACACACACACACACACACACACACACACACAGA